GUUUCCGUUUAGGUCGACACGCAAUACUUGAGAGGGCCCCACAUCACCGAGGUGGAUCGCGAGGGUCUGGAGACGGCCGUGCUCGGUCUGGAGUUCCGUCUGCACGCGAAGCAUUUCAAGAGGGGAGACCUGAAGAUCAAAUGCCUGGCGACGAUAGCGACCGUCUAUUGGAAAUCGAACGAGCUCAGCAUAGAGGGUGAAAGGCCCCACAAGAUGCCGGUAAUGGAGAGCAGGGAGACAAGGGCGCAAGGGCACACGCACGCGGAACAUAUCUUGGGAGGAAGCGGAAGCAGCGCGCUGCUGCCCUGCAUCUUGCCACUGGUCACGUGUUUAUUGAUCCUUCGAUAAGGGGAAGAGAGGAUACACGCGCCUUUCGUGCUCAUCCGUUUCCAGGCCUGCUAACCCGGAGACUCCCGUCUACGCUAAAUUAUUAUCCGUGUUGUUUCUAUUUUUUAUAAUCGCAGUUAGCGCAGUUAGCGAGGACAUAGACGAAAAAAUAUAUUAAACGAAGAUAGACGUUUUUGAGAGAGGUGGCUUCGAGCUGGGAGAGGGGACAGAGGCAAACAAACUACUUACUGGAUCAGUCCAUUAAUCUGUGCGCGUGUGUACCCGUGAAAUCGUCGCUCUUUACGUAACACAGAUUCGAUGAACCGAUCCAAUAAAGGACCACUGAUCCCGAUUAUAUUAUCAAACUUUUUAUUCGGUCGUUCGCGCGAUUCGACGAGCAAACUUUUCAGAAAAAGAUACGAUAUCCGUGCGUCGGCAAAAGUAUCCGCCAUCGGUGCUGAUUACAAAUUUCUUUUUUGCUCUCGUUCGUCGCGUUAAACGUAAGGAAAUUUCUAGUGCGCCUGCCGAACAAGCAUUAAUCGCUCGAGUGUCUGUCCAAGAAUGAAAGCAACAGCGAGCGCGAGAGUGCGUCGAACACGUUUAUAUCGAAUUGUACACGAGUGUUUCUAUAUCGUCCAGUCGUGGGAGAAAGCAAGAAUCGACCCGGUGAGAGAAUGUCGAAUUUCGUCGUAGCUUUUAUCGAAUCUAGUCGCUAUUAAUCGAGAGCAGAGAUACCUUAUCCUAGAGUUACUAUUACCGACAGUCACGCGUGAGUGUAGAGUGUGUUUUACCAAAGAAUAUUUCAAAGGUCGCGCCGAUAACAUUCCUAUCGUUAAUUACCGAUGUACGGGGCGAAACACGAUGCAUGGAGAACGCCCGAAAGCAUCGUCUCGAGUGUACUUUAUGUACGGUAUUACUGUAAGAGCACUCUGUACAUAUGUACAUAAAUCGAACCAACUUUUAUCUUUAACUUAACGUUCUGAUAAUAAAGCGGCAUUUAUGUCGA